ACCCCUAGACUGGCUUCCUGUAAUGACCUCCUAAGGCAAAGCUGACCAGAGAAAACCAUUUUCUUGUCUGGCUGAGGGAUCACAAGAGGACAAAGGAUGGCCGAAGCUGCCCCAUUUCCCCCCUAAUCCGAGAUGGGUCUCGCACGGCAAGCCUGUGCUCAGUGCAUAGUCGCGUGGCUCUGUGCAGAUUCUCCGGCCGCAGCUCAGGGCUUGGUGCUCGCACCCUGCUCGCCCUUCCACCAGCGCCCGCCCGCCCGGUGCUCGCACCCUCCUCUUCCCUGCAUGCUUGUGGUGAAUGAAGCCUGAUGCCUUGCUACCUUGGUUAACAGAAAGAAGAAGCAGAAUGCUGUAGUGAAGUGCGACCUCUCCCUAACGGCCAUCGUGUGGUCUUUCUUCAGGGCUGCUUCUGCAGUAUCAGAGGGAAACUGACGACGGAGCAGCCAAUGUGCCAGUUUUCAAAGGAACAGGCUUUUUUCGUUAUGGGAAAUGAACAUGUUUGGGGACAAACAUGUCAGAAUUGUGAGGGAGAAACUUGGCAGUGAGACGGACUGUGUGAUCUGCUUGACAAGAAUUGGGAAACAAUACACCUCAGAAGCUCAGACAGUUCUCGGCUCCUGGUUCAGAACCAUGACUCAGAAGCCACACAAGGGGAAGCCACCCCUGCACCUCCGAGAGGGCCCUCUCUCCUCCAGUCUUUAUUAAGGGGCCAGCAGCCGCCAUUUCCACACAGCAAGAUAUGGCAUCUGAGGGAAAACCAGUCUAGCUCUGCUCCACCAGGCGAGGCAGGAAGUGAAAGAGAGAACGUUUGUCCUUCAAAAGGAGAAGAGUUGGGGCAAACUGUCUGAAAGGCAAAUAUUCAUAAUGACUGGGCAAUGAGGGACUCUGAGUGGCGGGAAACAGACGUGCCUUGGCAUAAACAUUGAGAUUUUUUUUUCUGGGGUUUGCCUAACCCCUGUCUUUGAAAGUUUGCCUUUUACUAGAAUAAACACGGUUUAAUAGUGAGCAAAUAUUAGUUCACAUAAUCAGAACCUGUUGAGUUGAACAGGAAACCCUGGAGGGAAGUCUGCAGGUGCUUGCACGCUAGGCUGAGAAGAGGUUCUGGGGAAGCAGAUUCCCUCCCUUUCCCCAAGGGGAGUGUCCUUGAAUGGAGCCACUGUGGAAGGAAGAGGAAAUAGACAACCUGUAGAGACUAUGAACAUCACAGGAAGGCUCGGGAUUUGUUAAUGGGGCUCCUCCAGCACGUGUGUGUGUGUGUGUGUGUGUCUGUGUGUCUGUGUGUCUGUGUGUAUGUGUGUUGUGUGUCUGUGUGUCUGUGUGUAUGUGUUGUGUGUCUAUGUGUGUCUGUGUGUGUAAAGGGUCUCCUGGGUUUUCAGUUUUGUCUAUUGUAGGAGGGGUGUGGGCAUCUCACACCCCAGCCCUAUCCCUUUCAGAAUAGGAAAUUUGUAAGCUUCCUCCACCUUAGGGUUUGAGUAUAUUAUCAACUCCAUUUCAGGUUUCACAAACUUAAGAAAGAGUUCACUCUGACUGAAGGAGGAGGAGGAAGAGGAAGAAGAGGAGGAAGAGGAAAAAGAAGAUGGAGAGGAGGAGCCAGCCUGCUUUCUCAAAUCUAGGUUCUCUCUGCAAAUGGUUUUCUUUUUCUUUUCUUUUUUAAUUACAUUUAUUUGUCCCCUUUACAACCCAAUACCUGUCCUUCCUCUCCUCCCAGUCCUCACACAAGUCCUCCCCCAAUUCUUUCUUCUCCUUCUCUUCAGUUUGUGAAAACAGACACACUUGAUCUCAUAGAACAGAAAGCGGAGAAUAGCCUUGAACUCAUCAAUACAGGGCACAACUUCCUGAGUAGAACUUGAAUGGUUCAAGACACUAAGGUCAAGAAUUAAUAAAUGGUAUCUCAUGAAACUGAAAAGCUUCAGUCAAAGGACACUGUCAUCGGGACAAAAUGACAGCCUACAGAUUGGGAAAAGAUCUUAAUUAACCCUACAUCUGACAGAGGGCUAACAUCCAAAAUAUUUCAAGAACUCAAGAAGCUAGACACGAACAAUCCAAAUAACCCAAUUAAAAGUGGGGUACAGAGCUAAACAGAAUUCUCGACAGAAGACU